GAUGAACGCUGGCGGCGUGCCUAAUACAUGCAAGUCGAGCGAACAGACGAGGAGCUUGCUCCUCUGACGUUAGCGGCGGACGGGUGAGUAACACGUGGAUAACCUACCUAUAAGACUGGGAUAACUUCGGGAAACCGGAGCUAAUACCGGAUAAUAUAUUGAACCGCAUGGUUCAAUAGUGAAAGACGGUUUUGCUGUCACUUAUAGAUGGAUCCGCGCCGCAUUAGCUAGUUGGUAAGGUAACGGCUUGCCAAGGCAACGAUGCGUAGCCGACCUGAGAGGGUGAUCGGCCACACUGGAACUGAGACACGGUCCAGACUACUACGGGAGGCAGCAGUAGGGAAUCUUCCGCAAUGGGCGAAAGCCUGACGGAGCAACGCCGCGUGAGUGAUGAAGGUCUUCGGAUCGUAAAACUCUGUUAUUAGGGAAGAACAAAUGUGUAAGUAACUAUGCACGUCUUGACGGUACCUAAUCAGAAAGCCACGGCUAACUACGUG
rnacentral:rRNA from 1 species